rnacentral:lncRNA from 1 species
CAUUCCUUAUUUAGGAAAGUUGAAAUCAUUAAGGAAGUUGGAUGCCUCGGGAUGUAUAAAGCUGGAAGCAGUUGAAGGUUUGCAAAUGUUGGCGAACUUGAGAUACCUUGACCUAUUUCACACGGGUGUAAAAAAAUUACGUGAAGGAACAUUAAGGAAAUUGGUAAAAUUGCAACAUCUUAAGAUUCAGGGAAGGGUGAAUGCAGAAGAGAUGACUGAGUUGAAGGCACUUGAAUUAUUUCAAUGCCAUUUUGAUAUGGUGGACGAGCUCAGCUUGUCUGUGAAAAUCCUUGGGGAGAUUGACUACAAUGAUUUUGAAAUCAAAGUGGACCAAGCAAAGUCAUUGUUUUAUGUAAAAAUGGCUCAUUAUGAUCCCAAAAAUUGUAUUCGUGAACAUUCAAGUACUGUAGAAGUCCGUUACUGCAGUGAUCCUAUUGUGAAUGCGGGAAGAAAUGAUCCUAACUUGAGUGUGGGUAGGCAAAGCAGUUCUAUUUUGAUUCCAGGAGAUGUGCAGCAGUUGAAGGGGAGUAACUGCGGUGGCAUGAAAAAUCUAAUGGAUUUGAGCCCACUUCUAAAACUCGAGCUUCUAAAGAUUUUUGAAUGGGAGAACUUGCAGGUGCUCUGUGGAGCAGCAGAUGAACAAGAAGUAAUCAACGGGCAUUCCUACUCUCUCUCCUUCCCCUGUCUUAAGAAGCUAAAUAUCCAGAGAUGUCUGAAACUUAAGUAUCUGUUCGGCCACGGGUGUGAACACUCCUUUCCAGACCUACAGGCGAUUGUCAUCCAGGGUUGUGAGGAAAUAGAAGGGAUAACUGCAGCGGCAGCUGGUUCACCGGUUCCUGCUUUCCCCAGUCUAGAAGAGAUCGAUGUGAAGUCUUGUGGCAACAUGAAGAGGGUAGUUGAAUCUGAGUGGCUUCUCCAUUUCCCUAAUCUGAAGAAGGUUAAAGUACGGGGAUGCAAGAAGAUGGUCGAGAUAAUAGGACGGCCACCUCCAUGCAUGCCAGUGGAUACGGCCCUUUUGGAUGUGAGCUCAUUUCAAAAACUCGAGCUUCUAGAGAUUAUUGAAGGGGAGAACUUGCAGGUGCUCUGUGGAGCAGUAGAUGAACAAGAAGUAAUCAACGGGCAUUCCUACUCUCUCUCCUUCCCCUGUCUUAAGAAGCUAAAUAUCCAGAGAUGUCUGAAACUUAAGUAUCUGUUCGGCCACGGGUGUGAACACUCCUUUCCAGACCUACAGGCGAUUGUCAUCCAGGGUUGUGAGGAAAUAGAAGGGAUAACUACAGCGGCAGCUGGUUCACCGGUUCCUGCUUUCCCCAGUCUAGAAGAGAUCGAUGUGUCUUGUGGCAACAUGAAGAGGGUAGUUGAAUCUGAGUGGCUUCUCCAUUUCCCUAAUCUGAAGAAGGUUAAAGUAUGGGGAUGCAAGAAGAUGGUCGAGAUAAUAGGACGGCCACCUCCAUGCAUGCCAGUGGAUACGGCCCUUUUGGAUGUGAGCUCAUUUCAAAAACUCGAGCUUCUAGAGAUUAUUGAAGGGGAGAACUUGCAGGUGCUCUGUGGAGCAGUAGAUGAACAAGAAGUAAUCAACGGGCAUUCCUACUCUCUCUCCUUCCCCUGUCUUAAGAAGCUAAAUAUCCAGAGAUGUCUGAAACUUAAGUAUCUGUUCGGCCACGGGUGUAAACUCUUCUUUCCAGACCUACAGGCGAUUGUCAUCAAGGGUUGUGAGGAAAUAGAAGGGAUAACUGCAGCGGCAGCUGGUUCACUGCUUCCUGCUUUCCCCAGUCUAGAAACGAUCAAUGUGGAGUCUUGUGGCAACAUGAAGGGGGUAGUUGAAUCUGAGUGGCUUCUCCAUUUCCCUAAUCUGAAGGAGAUUAAAGUACAGAGAUGCAAGAAGAUGGUCGAGAUUAUAGGACGGCCACCUCCAUGCAUGCCAGUGGAUACGGCCCUUUUGGUAAGGCAUCUUCAAGUGGAACAUUGCAACAUACAGAAGUUGCUUCCGCUGGAAUUGUUGCCACAUCUUCGGAAUCUUCAACGCAUCCAUGUAAAUGACUGCACAGGAAUGGAGGAAAUUGUAAGCAGAGGAAGUGCAAGCACUCCUGAGCACAUCCCCUCCUCCUCCUCUCCAUGUCCAUUUCAUUCUCUCCCACAGUUAGAGCACUUGCAUCUAGAGAACCUACCUGACCUGAAGAGAGUAUGUGAAAGCACCAUAAGUUGCCAUUCAAUAACAUUGCUUCGUGCGUUGGGUUGUCCAAAACUGGAGAGAAUAUCUCUGCAACUGAAACUCGCUCAUCGUCAUGGGCUCCUUCCAGAGAUUAAUUUGGGUCACGAGGAACUGUGGGAUACACUGGAGUGGGACGGUCCCAAUCAGGAUCAAUUGGUUUUGAAAUUUGUAAAAGCUUAUAGUCUGGGUAAGAAUUGUAAUCCACCGUCCUUUGAUGGAGCCGGCUUGCCACAGAGAAGGAGAAUUCUCCAUAAGAAUCGUGAUCUACUGUCCUUUGAUGGAGCCGGCUAACCACAAAGAAGGAGAAUUCUCUGUGUCAACCACAAAUAGCAUCGACUCUUCACUAUCUUCAGCUCUUUUCUUGUUUUCUUCUUCUACUUGCACUGCUGACCAUCUUUAGGUUCAUUAUCUUCAGCUCUCUUCUUGUUUUCUUCUUCUACUUGCACUGCUGGCCAUCUUUGAAUUCAGUGUAGGAGAGGAAAGAAAAUUAUCUGUUGUAGAAGUAAUGAGUGAAGUCAAGGGACAUAACCCUAAAUUGUUCCAAUGAAGUGUUGAACUUGGAAAGAUGAUGAAAUUAGACAUUUUGUAUACGAAACUGACUUUAUGUGGGUGAUUGAGUAUAUUCAUAUGUUAAGAUGCUUAAGCACGAGUUCAUCCUGCCGAUCUAGUAAAAAUGUGUCGUUGCAAAAGUAAUUCUUUAAUAUUUGACUCGACUCAUAGAACACAUAAUCAAGCAUGGUUAGUGAUGCUUACAGGAGUCCCUGAAUCAUGAGAUGAUUGUGCGUUCCUUUGAAAAAGUGGUUCAGUUCAUCUGAGAACUGGUUUUUGCAGGUAGUUGAUUUGAGUUUCAUUGGAGUGUGUUCCUCUUGUUCAUUAUAACUAUCUUUACCAACAUGGCUAACUUGGAAGUCCACUCUGCAUAAGAGUAGUCUCACGAAGAGUUCCAUAGACAAGAUUGGGCAGAUGCUUUUACAGGACAAGUAUCUCAAAAAGUUGUCAAAUGUAGUUCUCUCGCAUCCGAAAACUGGAGUAUGUUGAGGAGGUUGGUUUCCCUUUUCCCCUCUGAACUGGAGUAUGGUGAUUACUUCAGUGCUGUUACGGGUCGUUGCAUGAGAUCUAGCGGAUGAGCUUACACAGGUUUUGAGGCAAGGUCUCUUGUUUCUACAAGUUAUGUUAAAGUGAGUGCACACUAAGUGGUUGUUCAAAUACUCGGUAGAAAGCUGUCUGAGAUUUGUGGCUUUGGCGGUGAGGAGUAAGUCUGUUUCUGUGGGUAGUGGAUAAGGUGGGCUGGCAAAUCUAUGCCCCAUCGUUGCAAUAAAUAUUAUAGCCUCAAACUGUUGAGGCAUUGUAGGAAACUCCACAGUGAGAGUUGAAGGCUAAUUGCUGUUUCUGUGACCCGGAUAUUGUAUUUCUAUCAAGACACAAUGUGAUAUUAGUUGGAUAGAGACUCUUACAAGACGUAAAUCCCUAUGGAUAAUACACCAGGAGGAUUAGCCGUCAUUUGGAAAGAUCCUGUGGUCUUAUCCAUUUCCUUUGCGGAGAAAAACCAAAUUCAUGGAGAGGUCUCUUAACAGUGAAAAUCCUGAACAACUGUGGUGGCUUUCUUUGGUGUACUCACCUACUUAUUUUAGUCUUAAGCAAGCAUUUUACGAUGAUUGCAAAAGGCGGGUUCAGGACUUGGGAGAGGACUGUGUUGGAAUUGGAGAUUUCAAUGAUACUAUCUUUGACUCGGAGGCGUCCAGAAGAGGCCCGGGCCCAUUUCGUCUCUUCCUAGCAGACUUUGUGGAUCUAGUGGGCUGUGUUGAUCUUGGGUUUAAAGGCAAAACCUUACACUUGGACAAAUGGCAGAGGGGGCUCUGCAAACGUUCGAAAAAGACUGGAUCGAGCAAUCUGUUUGACUUUGUGGUGAGAAAUUCCCUCGGGCAGGGGUUGUCCACUUCUGACCGUCAAUUCAGAUAAUUCUUCUAUUUGGCUGAAUUCUUCUUCUAUUGAGGAUAAGUUGCACCACCCUUUUAAAUUUGAAGCAAUUUGGCUGCAGGACUCGGCUUGUAUUAAUGUAGUGGGAAAAAGCUUGAAAAAAUGAGGUGGCAGACAGUUCGAGGGCCUCAUGGCAUAGGAAACUAAAAUUGACAGCCAUAGCUCUGAAAGUGGAAUAAGGAACAUUUUGGCAUUUGCCAACAACGCCUUAAGGAUUUGAUUUCAUCACUUGAUUCCAUUUAAAGGGAUGAUCCCUUGGACGAGAAUAACAGGAGAGAGAUGGAAAUCAAUGAGGCUAUUAAUGAGCAACAUGAGAGAUUGGAAAUGAUCUUGAAGCAAAAAUCAAGACAAUUAUUACUGCAAGAGAGUAAUCAAAAUACCAAAUAUUUUCAUCUCUACUCCUAUGAGAGGGCGCAAAAAUUAUAUCCUAACAGUGCAGGAUGAUGAAGGCUAAUGGAUCACGAAUAUGGAUGAGAUUAGAUUUUUUUUUUUUUCUAACAAAGUAUAUAGAGCUUUUCUCAGGACCCAUACUUGAUCCAAACCCUCUCAUAGGGGAGUUAUUUCCUGAGGCUAUUUCUGAAGAGGAGAACUCUGAACUUCUGGCGAUUCCAAUGGAGGAUGAAAUCUAUAGCGUUCUAAAAGCGAUGGCCCCUUUAAAAUCACCAAGCCUAGACCGAUUUCAUGCCAUCUUCUAUGUGAAAUGCUGGAAAGUGGUGAAGGCCCAGGUCAAUCAAUUUGUGCAGCACUUCUUCCACACAAGUCAAUUGCCCCACCUCCCCAAUCAUACUAUCCUAGUACUUAUCCCCAAAAUACAUAAUGCACAUGCUUUUACCCAGUUUUGCCCCAUAAGUCUGUGUAAUGCGAGCUACAAACUUAUUUCUAAAUUGUUAGCUAAUACAUUGAAGGGGUUUCUCAGCCGUAUAAUUUCACCUCAAUAAUCCGCUUUUGUUUAGGGUAAAAGUAUCCUAGAGAACUUAGUAAUGGCACAAGAAAUCACAAACUCCAUGAGAAAGAAACAAAAUGGGAGGGCCUUUGUGGGAAUCAAGUUGGAUAUGUCCAAAGCUUAUGAUAGAGUUGAUUGAAAUAUUCUUGACACAAUACUUUGCAGCAUGGGAUUUUCAUAUAACUUUUGUAAAUUCAUAAACUAGUGUAUUUCGACAAGUCGCUAUACUCUCUACUCAUCAAUUGUGGACCACUAAAGGUUUUACACCUCAAAACGAUCUCAGACAAGGAGAUUCUAUCUCACCAUAUUUGUUUGUAAUCUAUGGUGAACUUCUCUCUCGAAUACUCAUUCAAGCAGAGGAUUUGAAGAUGAUCGCAAGGAUAAGAGCAGGACGGGAUGGUCCAUCAUUAACAUACCUUUUGUAUGCUGAUGACUUGCUGUUAUUUGUUUAAGCCACAAAGAAACAUUUGAGAGCUCAUGCCAUAAUAUCAUGUUAAAAUGUUCAACCCAAAUUUUUUAUAUUGGACCAUCUAAUGUAGUAUUAGAGCUCGUUCAGCCUCGAUUUAUUUUGCAUAUGUGAUCUACGAUUCGACAAAUUCUCCAUGCCAUUUCUAAUAUAGCUUACAUAUGAUAGGGGUGUUAAAAUAUUUCACGUGGCUUGUCUAUGAGGCUUGUCUACAAGUCCCCUGACAAAGCUAUCAUUUGGUUUGACUAAAGUCGUUGCUCAAAAGACUAGCAUUUAUUUGCAUUUUCUCUGGGGCAACUAGUUUUAAUCUCAGAGCCCAUUCACAUAUUAACAACUUCAAAGCUCAAUGUCUAUUUAUUAUGUUUUUCAUGUUACAUCAUACAAUAAACUAAAUGGUUAAUACCCUAAAAAAUUUCAAACUAGUACACAUGUGACAAAUUUACCAAAAACUAUUUUUUUGAUCAUGAAAAACUCAAACUGAUAUACUUGUGACAAAUUUAACCCGACUGGCCAUAAAAAAUCAUAAACCAGUACAUUUAUGAUAAAUUUAUCCCAAAAUAAUUUAUUUGAUCGCAAAAAACCCAAAACUGGUAAAUUUGUGAUAAAUAUACCCUUCGCUAAAUUGAAUUAAUACCACAAAAAAAUAAAAAAAAAUUGUAAACUGUGACAAACAGAGCGUAAAAUUCCAAAUUGGUAUACCAGUCAACUGUCACGAAUCAUUUAACUUAAUAAUUUGAUAAUGAAAUUUAACGAAAAUUAACAGAGAAUAAAUUUGUCAUAAGUGUACCAGUUUUGGGUAAAUUUGUUAAAGGUAUACUAGUUUGGGAUUUUUGGUAGUCAAAAAAAUAGUUUGGGGUAAAUUUGUCACAUGUACCGACUUAGGAUUUUUCAGGGUAUUAACCCUAAACUAAACUAACCGAACGAAGAAUGAACACAUUUUAUAUCUAAGUAUAUUGGUAUUACUAACUUUUCAACUAAAAGUUACAUUAUUUGAUGUAAUCAUUUAAGUAUUUUUGCUGGGCUCAUUUUCCUUCUUUAGUCACGGUACUAUCAUAAAUCGAAAUCAAAGUGGUUUAAUAUAACUGAUACAAUAUCUCCUUUUAAGUCUAUUCCUUCGUUGUCAAACCAUCUUAAGUUAUUUUCAUGUUUAAUAUCUAAAAGUACAACCAGCUUUGAUUGGAAAAAAAGAAAAAAGAAAAAACCAUUUGCGGUGGGAAGAAUGAUGAGCACUAGGACGACUUCCCAAUAUAAAGUAAAAAUGAGUCAUUUAAAGCAUAACUGAAAUACAUUUAGAGCCUCACUUCUUUGAUAUUAGUGAGUAUACAGUCAAAGAAAAAAGAAAAAAAAAAGCACAAUCUUUUGCAUCUAAUGUACCACAACCUUAAAAAUGCUAAAAAGCAGCCCAAUCUUUUGAAUGUGAGAUGAAAAUAACACAACCUUUCGAACUUCCUAGAUAAAAGCCUAACACGUUUAACUCCUGUGACAAAAAUGGUAUCCGAUGCAAAUUAUGCCUAAUCUCCUAUUAUAUCACCACGAGUCGCACAUGACUUCAAACGACUAUUUCUAACAAAAUGCUAGAAAUUUGGUGAGAAAGAUUAUAUACUAAAUUUGGUGACAAAGACUGUAAACAUAAAACAACGCCAUAUUUGUGUCGGUUGACAUGGCUCGCUAUGUAUGUCAACAAGGGAGCCAUGUAGGGUAGCUGUCGUAAUUUAGCAAUGAUAAUGGACGGAAUUUGUAAUUUGUGUUAGUGUCUUGUCCCACAAGUAAAAAACCUUAUCUUCUACCCGCCCAAGUACAAAAGGUUGGCCAUAAGUAUACUCAAAUUCUAUCCAUCGAUUAUUGAAGGUGAAAAAGUUACAAACUUGACAGCAUGAUGACAGAUGGGAUUUCUUGAUAUGUUGAGAGGCCGUAUGGAAAUGACCAAUAAAGAGCAUGGUUACUUCUCCUGGAGGUGGCUUCCUUUUUAUAAUUACUUAGGUGUUGAGAUCUAAUUCCUUCUCCAUUAAUUACGUCAUUCUCCUCUGAGUACCGAGAAAUCUUGCGCAACAUUGUGAAGUACGGUCAGAAAGUUUCUGAUUCGUGGAAACUGACAAGGAUUUGGGAAUCCAUGGAUUUUCUGUAGUACUUCUUAACUACGUAAGUGAUUCUUCUUGGUGAAAGCUUGCUUCACAUUUGGCUCGUAGGAAUAACAAUCAUAUUUCCAUUCAAUUCUGAUGAUGCAAUUAUUCGUUCGUUUGAUUCAAAAAUAGAUUAGAAAUAGCUAUUUUCUCAAAAUAAGGAAUAGCUACUCCUGGAUGGCGGAGGAAUUAUUAAUAGCUUAUCCGUGUAGUUGAGAAUAGCUUCAAUUUUCAUAAUUUAGAGUUGACUUUGGAUGUUUAAUAAUUAAUCGUAUUUAUAUUAAAUGAAAGUUAUUGAAUUGGGACUAUGUUUAUUAUACUUGCAUAAUUCAAUUAUUCAUAUUGUAAAUAAUUUAUAACACACCAAAUUGUAACCUAUAAUCAAAUUAUAAUUUAUGCUAAAAUAGUAAGAUAUAGAGAGCUUGAAUAUAAUUGAUAUAUCUUAGUUACUCAUAAUUAGAAAAUUAUUAUUAGUAAUAUUCAAAGUUGCCAUUCAUAAGAUGAUAAAUCACACAGGAUAUUAUGAUAAUUACUAUCCCAAGUUUAGUUACUUAUAAUUAGUUAUUGCGCAAAUGGAAAAAAGAAGAAGCAAAAACUAGUAUAUGUUUUUUUUUUUUUAAUUAACUGCGUAACUAGCGUAGUCAAGGAAUAUACGACACUCAUAAUUUUGAAAUUAUCUUUAUUUAAAGAGAAGUUUGUUUUGUCCAAUUGCCACAAUUAUUACAAUGACUACGUCUCCAUGUGAUAUGAGUUCAUUUAGAUAUCUAAUGAUAAAAUUACGGAGAGAAAACAUAUUUCUAUUAAAAUUGAUCAAAUCAACUAUUAAUUUUGCACUUUGUAAUUUAAUUGAAUCCCGUGGGGAAAAGGACACCAGAAUUAUCAAAACUUGUGUACGGUACUCACUUUUAUGCCAAAAGUUUAUUUUGAAUCACUUAAGUCCCAAGUUUUUAAAGAAUGAUCCUUUUAGUGUCAACUCCAAUUUGUUUGACCGGAAAUCCAACGUGGCCUUUUUCAUUAGUUUCUUAAGCCGACAUGACUCAUUGGAGAGUCUAGUCAACAUCUAACCCUAAAAUGAUGCCGUCUAGUACAUUUCUAUCAAAUAAGAACCAUAAAUUGCCAAAUUGAAAGAGAACCCCAAAAUUUCAAACCCUAAACCGGCCAUUGAAUGCAAAUUCACUCCUUAUUUUAGUUUGCUCCCAAAAUUAAUUGCUCAAUCUUGCAAAUAAAGAGCAGGAGCUUUAGUAGCUGCUCGCAACGCCAAUUUUUUCUCUUGCGAGUCCUAAUUUUCUCUCAAGAACCCUAAAAUGAUGCCAUCUAGUACAUUUCUACCAAAUAAGAACCCUAAAUCACCAAAUUGAAAGAGAACUCCAAAUUUCAAGCCCUAAACCAGCCAUUGAAUGCAAAUUCACUCCUUAUUUUAGGUUGCUCCCAAAAUUAACAACUCAAUCUUGCAAAUAAAGAGCAAGAGCUUUAGUAGCAGCUCGCAACGCCAAUUUUUCCUCUUGUGAGUCCUAAUUUCCUUUCAAGAACCCUAAUUUUUCCCUUCAAGUGAGAACUAAAAUGAAUAGCUUGCUCGCCACUUGUAAGAACCCAUCUAAGAGAUAAGAGCAAAACAAGAAAUUCUUCUUGUUCUUAAGCCAAAUGCUAAAUGAAUUACCACUCAAAACAAGUCUACCUUCUUAUUUAUCAUUGCAUGCUUAUAUAGAUGAACUUGGAAAGCAUGAAUAAUUACUAGAACUCUUUGGAAAGAUAAAAGGACUCAUAGGGAAGACAAGCUAGAAAACAACGAAAAUUAAAAAGGGACUUUAAAAACUUUAAAUGUCCAUUUGACGUUUCUAUAAAAUGCGGGAAAACACAUCUUUAAUUUUUCAGCGCAAGGUCAUCGUCCGUUUUCACCGAGACCAUCUAAUUCAAUAGUGAGCUAGGGAGGAAAAUAUACUUCACUUGUCAAUUUAUUUCCAACACAAAGAAUGAAGUCAUAAUCAUUGUCAUUCGUUACCAAGGGCGCGCAUGUUUUUAUUUCUAUUCUUUUUCUGUUCCCGGGAACAGAAAUAAAAAAAAAGUGUUUCUGUUCCGGGGAAUAAUUUUUUUAAUAAAAAAAAGUGUUUGGUAAACUUGUUCCGGAAAUAAAAAAUGAACAGAAACACGUUUAGUAAAUUUUAUUCUUUUUUGUUUCUUUUAAUUUUUUAAUAUUUAUUUUAUUUUUCAUUUUUUCCUUUCUUUUUUCUUUUUUCUUUUUUCUUUUUUCGGCCGGUCGCCGACCCUCAACGGCGUCGCCGGCCCUCGACGGCCGGUCGCCGGCCAUGGCCGAGGCCGGCGACCGGCGAAAGAAAAAAGAAGAAAAAAAGAAGAAGAAAAGAAGAAGAGAAGAAGAAGAGAGGGAAGAAGAAACGUUUCUUCAAAAUUGUUCUAGAACAAGAAGUAAGUUUUUUUUGUUCUUUUUGUGUUCCGGGAACAAAAGAACAAAAAAAGAACAGAAACGCAACCAAACGCGUUUCUGUUCUUUUUUUUUUCCCGGGAACAAAAAAAUAAAAAAGUGUUCCAAAAACAUGCAGGCCCAAAUUUCUCGCGAUUUGCACCAAAAACAAAAGGGAAUUUUAUUUUUGGUCGAGAUUAAUGUGGUUCAUAGUGUACAUCAAUAUGAUGAGUCGUGUAGGAUGAAGCGUGGCAUUUAAUAGUGAGAAUGGACAAAAUUUGUAAAGUGUGUCAUUUUUUACUGCGACUGAAAGGUUGAGCUUUUUCUUGAAAGGUUUAUGUUAUUUUUGUCCCAUCCCAAGUGCUGAAGGUAGACUUUCUAUUUUUGGAUUUGGCCUGCUUGGUGUGGUUGCAAAAAAUGAUUUAUAUUCAAGUUUGAGAUGUAUUCAUUAUACUGUUGAUUGAUCCUAGUGUCAGAUCUGGCUUAGCUCUGGGUAUGGUUUGAAUUUGAUCUAUCUAAACUGAUGCUGUUGUACCAAUUAAACCGCAAAUAACCCCAUUUGUCUUAUUUGAGGGAGUAACCCCAUUUGUCUUAUUUGAGGGAGCACAAUGCUUUUGUGUAUGAACUCAUGAAUUUCCUUCUUCUUUUUUUUUUUAAUGUUAGAUAUGAACAGAGGCUUACCAAUGUUGAACCAGAUAAGCAUUUAGUCCAACCAUGAGAAGAUGAAAAAUCUAAAAAGAAAAAUUGAACAACUUGAAGACAAAGAAGCUGACCUAAAGAAGAAGAUGAAGCUAGAAUUUGCCAAGCCUUUUUCGCAGAUGAAGCUGAAGACAAUGGUUACGAAAUGGUUAGCCAAAACAAAAACAGCAAAAAAUGAAUUCAAAAGCAUUGAGGAAGCGACUGGGGAAAAUAUGCAACUUGUGGAGAGAUUGACAAGAGAAGUGGAACAGAUUAUGGGGAAAAAACUUCCACAAACACUAUUCAUUCAGGCAGAACCUGUCAAAACACAACCACUAUUACAACAUAAGCUAGUAGUUGAGGCAAUUCAGAGGAACAUAGAGUUGGUCUGGGGAUGUCUAAUGGAGAAUCGUGCUUCAAAUUUGGGUAUUUCUGGCAUGGGAGGGGUUGGGAAAACGACUACGGUGGAGCACCUACAUGAUAGACUCCUGAAAAACGGGAACUUCGACAUUGUAAUUUUUAGCACUAUGUCCCAAAAUUUUAGCAUUUAUAAGUAGCAGAGUGAUAUUUGGAAGGAACAUAAAAAAGUGACAUGGAGGAGGAGCGUGUGAGGAAACGAGCAGCGAAGUUGUCCAAACACUUAUCAAAGAAGAGUUUUGUACUGAUUCUUGACGACGUGUGGGAGCAUUUCAAACUCCAGGAUGUGGGAAUUCCCGAUAGAGCCGAUGGAUGCAAGCUUGUCUUAACAACUCGAUCUUCUAAAGUAUGUGCUCGAAUGGGUUGUAUAGAGAUUAAAAUUAGACCUUUAUGUGAAGAAGAAGCAUGGAACUUAUUUGUGGAGCAUCUUGGGUCUAAAGGGGUACUUGGUAUGAACAAAAUUGAAAAGGUUGCAAAGGCAAUCGUGGAGAAAUGUGCAGGUUUUCCACUUGCUAUCAUCGCAAUGGCAAGAAGCAUGAGGGGGGAGGAGAGAGGAUUUGUCUGGGAGGACACUUUGGAAAAGCUGAAGGACCCAAAUAAGGAUCAUACAGAAAUGGGAGAGAGGGUUUUGCCAGUACUAGACAUAGCUACACACGCCUGUCUGACCCUCAACUUCAACAACGUUUCUUACGCCGUGCACUUUAUCCUGAAAAUGCAUUAAUUGGGAAAAUGGAGUUGAUUGAAUUUUCUCUUGAUGAGGGAUUGAUUGACGAACUGCAUGCUGGGGAGAAACAAUAUACGAGGGGUCUUAACAUAAUAAGCAAACUUCAAGAUGCUUUCUUGUUGGAAGUUUCUUAUAGGAUCAAGAUGCAUGAUUUGCUCAGAGAAAUGGCACUACACAUAAUGAGUACAACGUCUAUUAUACAAGUAAGCAUGAAUUCGCAAGGGAUGCCUGAUGAGGAACGUUGGACAAGUGAUUUAAAGAGAGUUUCUUUGAUGAAUAGAAUCGACGAAAUUCCUCAACAUAUGUCACCAAAUUGUCCUAAACCUCGACUUUGUUAUUAGAAUAUAGCCUUUUGGAGCAUACCCCGGAUUCUUUCUUCAAGCAACUGCAGGGGCUGAAGGUUCUAAACCUAAGUGGAAGUAAAAUCACAGAACUUCCUAGUUCCGUGUCGGACUUGGUAAACUUGAGAGCUUUAGUUCUUUGUGAGUGUUAUCGAUUGUGCCACAUUCCUUAUUUAUGAAAGUUGAAAUCAUUAAGGAAGUUGGAUACCUUGGGAUGUAUAAAGCUGGAAGCAGUUCAAGGUUUGCAAAUGUUGGCGAACUUGAGAUACCUUGACCUAUUUCACACGGGUGUAAAAAAAUUACGAGAAGGAACAUGAAGGAGAUUGGUAAAUUGCAACAUCUUAAGAUUCAGGGAAGGGUGAAUGCGGAAGAGAUGACCGAGUUGAAGGCACUUAAAUUCUUUAAAUGCUGUUU